rnacentral:ncRNA from 2 species
GUGAUACCGGACGAGUGUGGUUCUCGGCCGGAGUCGUCCGUCCGGGAUUAAAAGGGAACACGGUGCGCCGUCGCGAGACGGCAAUGCCGUGGCUGCCCCCGCAACUGUGAGCGGCAAGGAUCGCCGAGACGAGCCACUGGCCGGCAAACGGCUGGGAAGGUUCGGCGAGACGCAGACCCGCGAGCCAGGAGACCUGCCACACCCGUCCGCCAUCA